rnacentral:lncRNA from 1 species
GGGCCGCGGGCCGCGGGGCCGCGGGGCAGGGCAGGCCUCAGGGCUGUGUGGGCCCCGUGUGGCCACGGGCAGUGGCCAAGCUCGGCCCAAACUGUGGAGAAAAGCCAAGGGCACAGCUGUCCAGCACCCCUGGGCUCUGCUGCCACUUCCAUAAGGAGCCCUGUGAGCCGCCCUUCCCUGGGAAGCACAAUUAAAGGAAAAGGAAGAGGCAGGCUUGGUUUGAUCAAAACAGACAGCAGAUGCUGGAGAAGAAGAAUGGGGAAGGUUGUCAACUGGAGCAAAGAGGACAGAACAGCCUGCUGUGCAUGGGCACAGCUGGAAAGGGCCAUGGCUCCACAGCCUUUCUCUCUGAGGCUGGAGCCACUUCACCUUUUCAUGUGGAAGAGGACAGUCUACAAUAACUCUUGCAAGAAGGGAAAAAUAAUUCCUAAGCCUCAGGUAUGAAAGAGAUCAACACAAAAGGAAUUAACUGUUUCCAGGAUCUCGUUUUACAACUAUACUAUCCAAAUCUGUGUGAGAAGGGAAGCAUUUUGUCUCUUAUUUAGUAUAUAUUCUUGGUUGUAAUUUUCUCUGCACAUAUUCAAGAUACUCUAUGCAAGCAUAGGAAACAGGAGGUUUUGAGCUAAAUAUCUUCCUGUCUAACUGCAGAAAAUAGAAGAAGGGAGAUCGAAUAAUUUGGUGGACACGAUCUAGGUAGGCAGUACUUCAUCUAGGCAUAGAAGGUAGGUGUAUG